rnacentral:rRNA from 1 species
UGCCAGCCGCCGCGGUAAUACGGAGGGUGCAAGCGUUAAUCGGAAUUACUGGGCGUAAAGCGCACGUAGGCGGAUUCGCAAGUCAGAUGUGAAAUCCCCGGGCUCAACCUGGGAACUGCAUUUGAAACUGCGGAUCUAGAGUGGUGGAGAGGGAAGCGGAAUUCCCGGUGUAGAGGUGAAAUUCGUAGAUAUCGGGAGGAACACCAGUGGCGAAGGCGGCUUCCUGGACAAACAUUGACGCUGAGGUGCGAAAGCGUGGGUAGCGAACAGGAUUAGAUA